rfam:Gossypium raimondii Chr03_contig_283, whole genome shotgun sequence.
AAUCCAUGCAUCAAACAUUUCCGAAGUAAUUCUUUAAAUCAUUCCCAAGCUUCAUAUAACAUUUCAUCCUCUAAUUGCUAAAAAUAUGUGAUGUUAUUUCGAAGCUU